GCGUCAGAAAUGCCAUGUCGAUAUUGAUAACAGACUCUGAAGGGAGAAAGCCACUCGUCAUCUUCUCAAUAAGAAAUGUAAUGGCCUAAAAUAUACAGUAGUACAGUUAUGUCUUUCAAUAACCUCAGUCUGCCCUUAGGUUAAACAAAUUCUAGGGCUAAGUUACUCCUCUUGUCAUUGUCUGAACCACUCAUGCCCUCCCGCGUGGACAGAAUACUGGGAAGGGACGCUUCACUUAGCCCGCAGCUAUAUUAGCUAGGUGAUUGGGACUUACUUUUUUUUUCUGACUAUGAAUGUUAUUGUCAGUAGACUAUGAAUUCAUGAUCAUGUAAUCUCGUCAUCUUAAUUUUCUGAAAGACAAUAUCAGUAUUAAUAAUAAAAACAUUUUCAAGACUGGCUGUGAGAUGAGGCAAGUGUAGCGGUGUUCUUUUGACUCAACGCACUCAACGCACACCUAAAUGGAUCUGAAAACUGAUUCAGACUUAACUCAUCUGAGUUCCUUGGUAAGUGUGUGUGCGUGUAUUUGGAGACUAUUUUAUAGGAUUACAUAUUAUUCUACAGAUUUACAGAUUCAGAGCAAUUCAUAUUACCAGAUAUAGUAAGUCUCAGAGCAUGGUUUUGAUAUGUUUACUGAUAUUUUACUUUUAUUUUGAAACAAUACAGGAGACCGAGGAUGGUAUUCUUUCUGUUCAGGUCCUGGAAUUUAAAACAACUCUUCUGGAUGCGGUACAAGAGCUGUACAUUCGCAGGGAUGCGGAAUCUCGAUAUGAGGAACAGAUCAAUAAACUGGUACUGGAGAAGCAAGAAUUAGAGUGGCAAAAGGUAUGUGAUCACAUGAAGAUUAGCCUAUGUCAGAUAGAGAUAUAGUUUGGUAACUGGAUUGAAAAACUGUAUAGGAAGCAGAGAUAUUGUUUAGACCCAC
ensembl:lncRNA